GUGGCCGUGGCCGCCGCCGCCGCCGCCGCCGCCGCCACCCGGGCUGCUCUAGGGGCCCGGCUUCUCUGCGCGUCCGCCUGGGGCUCACGGGGGCCCGGGGCGGCCGCUGGUUGGCUCGCGCACCGCCCUCGCCUCCAAUCCCCGGUGCCUGUCCUAAUUUCCUGAUCCAGGGAACCUGCCGCCGCCGCAGCUGUGCGCUCCCUACAGUCAUUACAGUGCCCUCCCGGCAGCCGCCAACUGAACACGCAGCGGCAGCAGUUAGCGCUGAUGCAACUCUCGCUGCUACUGCCACGGCUUCCCCACUAACCGGCCGUGCAGCUGGGGGGUACUUGCAGUUUCCAGGGGCAACAAGCAUCUCUCUACCACCCUCUCCUGCGCCCCUGAGAGAGGCUGCAGCUUUCUCUUCACCAUCCACCAUGACUGCAAGCUCCUUGAGGUCCUCACCAGAAGCAGAUGCCAGCAGCACACACUUCCUAUACAGCCUGCAGAACUGCCCUGAGCUUGAUGUAGAAGACUAUCAUAUGAACCAGAGAGGGUAACUGAACCCAAAGAAAUGACUCCAACAUGAAGCUAAAGACACGCCUUAAAGGAUGAGGAGGAGCAGAAAUCCCACCAGCAAGGCAAGAAAGAAGCUGUGCAUGAACAGGUGACAGUAAGAGAAAUGCUUCAUUCCCUGUUGCGAUUAUUAGCACGUGAAGCUUGUGAAACACAGAGCCCCAGCUAGAGGAUCUUGUGUUAUAAUUUUUCAAAGACUGCGCAGCAGGCACAGCAGCCAUACAGCUAAUAGAAAUCAAGUGUUAUUUCUUAAGUAUCAUGCACUUUGAUUAGCAGCUUGGGGAGCCAUUGGCUGAAUUUCUUGAAGAAACCUCUAGGAAGUCAGCCAUAACUCUAAGACUGAGGCAGCUUUCGAGUAGUGUGAUUCAUCUUCUUUAAGUAUUAGGGCCACCUAGGGUCACGCCAGCCCAGUCUACAGCAGGUAACCUGGAACUGAAAUUCUGAGACAAAAGAACUAGGAGGAAAAAUGUCCCACCUGGCUCAAGGGAGGAAGUCAAUUUAAAGGGAUGAGGAGAACACUGGCAAAAUAAUAUUUUAAAGCUAUUAACUGAUUUUCCUCUUCUGGCAGUUCCUAUUGCCUCUGACUCCUCCCCCAAGCCCACUUAGGUAUCAUUUGUUCUAUCAGGAAAAAAGAAGUUUCACCAGAGGGCAGGAAAAACAGGCUUUUGAUUUUCUAAAGUCAAGACCCUGAAGGCACUUGGGAUAGAGACACUAAGGUGAAUUGAUGCAAAGUUUCCCACCCCUUGUAAAACCUAGAGUUUUCUAGGUGUGUUGUGAGGACAGUGCUCGAGCUGGGGAGAAAAGGGGGCUGAUACAUGCUGGUGGGG
rnacentral:lncRNA from 1 species